rnacentral:rRNA from 1 species
CUACGGGUUGCACCAGUGAGGAAUAUUGCACAAUGGGGGGAACCCUGAUGCAGCAACGCCGCGUGGAGGAUGACGCAUUUCGGUGUGUAAACUCCUUUUAUAUGUCAAGAAAAUGACGGUAGCAUUUGAAUAAGCACCGGCUAACUCCGUGCCAGCAGCCGCGGUAAUACGGAGGGUGCAAGCGUUACUCGGAAUCACUGGGCGUAAAGGACGCGUAGGCGGGUUGGAAAGUCAGGUGUGAAAUCCUACAGCCUAACUGUAGAACUGCACUUGAAACUUCUAAUCUAGAGUAUGGGAGGGGGAGAUGGAAUUAGUGGUGUAGGGGUAAAAUCCGUAGAUAUCACUAGGAAUACCUAAAGCGAAGGCGAUCUCCUGGAACAUUACUGACGCUAAGGCGUGAAAGCGUGGGGAGCAAACAGGAUUAGAUACCCCCGUAGUC